rnacentral:sRNA from 1 species
UCACUCGCGCCCAGCGCCUAACCUGGCUGGAGGCCUCAGAGAUUGAGGACGAGGAGGAGAAGGUCUCCAGGUACCGAGAGCUGCUGGUGCGGCUGCCCCCUGUCAACCGGGCCACAGUGAAGGCCCUUAUCAGCCACCUGUACUGUGUUCAGUGCUUCUCAGACACGAACCAGAUGAACGUGCACAACCUGGCAAUUGUGUUUGGGCCCACGCUCUUCCAGACAGAUGGGCAGGACUACAAGGCUGGCCGUGUGGUGGAAGACCUCAUUAACCACUAUGUGGUGGUGUUUAGUGUGCGUCCCUGGCCAGUGGGCAGUGGAGGGCAGGGGUGAUCCUUCCAGAUGGCGGUGACCACCUGUCCCUGCCUCUCGCCCCUUCCCAGGUGGAUGAGGAAGAGCUCAGGAAGCAGAGGGAGGAGAUCACUGCCAUUGUGAAGAUGCGCGUGGCUGGCACUGCCAGUGGGACCCAGCAUGCCGGUGACUUCAUCUGCACAGUGUAUCUGGAAGAGAAGAAGGCAGAGACUGAGCAGCAUAUCAAGAUCCCAGCAUCCAUGACUGCUGAGGAGCUCACCCUGGAGAUCCUGGAUCGCCGGAACGUGGGCAUCAGGGAGAAGGACUAUUGGACCUGCUUUGAGGUCAACGAGAGGGAGGAGGCAGAGCGCCCCCUGCACUUUGCGGAGAAGGUGCUGCCCAUCCUGCACGG